rnacentral:rRNA from 1 species
UGGGGAAUUUUGGACAAUGGGGGAAACCCUGAUCCAGCCAUCCCGCGUGUGCGAUGAAGGCCUUCGGGUUGUAAAGCACUUUUGGCAGGAAAGAAACGUCAUGGGUUAAUACCCCGUGAAACUGACGGUACCUGCAGAAUAAGCACCGGCUAACUACGUGCCAGCAGCCGCGGUAAUACGUAGGGUGCAAGCGUUAAUCGGAAUUACUGGGCGUAAAGCGUGCGCAGGCGGUUCGGAAAGAAAGAUGUGAAAUCCCAGAGCUCAACUUUGGAACUGCAUUUUUAACUACCGGGCUAGAGUGUGGCAGAGGGAGGUGGAAUUCCGCGUGUAGCAGUGAAAUGCGUAGAUAUGCGGAGGAACAGCGAUGGCGAAGGGAGCCUCCUGGGAUAAAACUGACGCUCAUGCACGAAAGCGUGGGGAGCAAACAGG